rnacentral:rRNA from 1 species
GAUGAACGCUAGCUACAGGCUUAACACAUGCAAGUCGAGGGGUAACGAGAGGGAAGCUUGCUUUCCUUGUCGACGACCGGCGCACGGGUGAGUAACGCGUAUCCAACCUGCCCCCAACUAAGGAAUAACCUUGCGAAAGUAAGACUAAUACCCUAUAAUUUCCUCAGAUGACAUCUGACGAGGAAUAAAGAUUUAUCGGUAGUGGAUGGGGAUGCGUCUGAUUAGCUUGUUGGCGGGGUAACGGCCCACCAAGGCAACGAUCAGUAGGGGUUCUGAGAGGAAGGGCCCCCACAUUGGAACUGAGACACGGUCCAAACUCCUAGGGGAGGAAGCAGUGAGGAAUAUUGGUCAAUGGGCGGAAGCCUGAACCAGCCAAGUAGCGUGCAGGAUGACGGCCCUAUGGGUUGUAAACUGCUUUUAUACAGGAAUAAAGUUAGCCACGUGUGGUUAUUUGUAGGUACUGUAUGAAUAAGGACCGGCUAAUUCCGUGCCAGCAGCCGCCGUAA